rnacentral:rRNA from 1 species
CAAAUUUGAAAUCUGGCGCCUUCGGUGUCCGAGUUGUAAUUUGAAGAUUGUAACCUUGGGGUUGGCUCUUGUCUAUGUUUCUUGGAACAGGACGUCACAGAGGGUGAGAAUCCCGUGCGAUGAGAUGCCCAAUUCUAUGUAAGGUGCUUUCGAAGAGUCGAGUUGUUUGGGAAUGCAGCUCUAAGUGGGUGGUAAAUUCCAUCUAAAGCUAAAUAUUGGCGAGAGGCCGAUAGCGAACAAGUACAGUGAUGGAAAGAUGAAAAGAACUUUGAAAAGAGAGUGAAAAAGUACGUGAAAUUGUUGAAAGGGAAGGGUUUGAGAUCAGACUCGAUAUUUUGUGAGCCUUGCCUUCGUGGCGGGGUG